rnacentral:rRNA from 1 species
UCGGGAAUUUUGGGCAAUGGGCGAAAGCCUGACCCAGCAACGCCGCGUGAAGGAUGAAGUAUUUCGGUAUGUAAACUUCGUAAGAAUAGGAAGAAUAAAUGACGGUACUAUUUGUAAGGUCCGGCUAACUACGUGCCAGCAGCCGCGGUAAUACGUAGGGACCAAGCGUUGUUCGGAUUUACUGGGCGUAAAGGGCGCGUAGGCGGCAAUUCAAGUCAUCUGUGAAAUCUCCGGGCUUAACUCGGAACGGUCAGAUGAUACUGCUUUGCUAGAGUGCAGAAGGGGCAAUCGGAAUUCUUGGUGUAGCGGUGAAAUGCGUAGAUAUCAAGAGGAACACCUGAGGUGAAGACGGGUUGCUGGGCUGACACUGACGCUGGG